GACCUGAACCUGGAGCUUCACUCUGCGGCUGCAGCUCCAUCCUCUGUGGGGGUUGAGCACCUGCCAGGACAACAUGCCCACCUGCUCCUGCUGCACCUGUGUGAAGGUGUGAAGGUGUGAACACACAGAGCAAAACCCAUUGUCAUAUAAGCCUAUAGGUCCUGGGAAGGUGUUCCAAGGUUCCGUACUGAUGGCAGCGCUGGCUGAUGCUAUUCCAGACAGGACCAUCAGGAGACAGACACAUGACAUCACCAGGAACCCCACCACCUGAAGGGGAGAGGAAGAAUGACAAGGAGAUGUGACACUGUAAAUUCAAUUAGGGGGCCGGGGCCUUAUUUCUGUGUGAAUCCUGUGUAACUAGGGGUGUAUGUAAAAGUUUGUGAUGUCCAUUCUGCUGCUCUUGUAUGAAGCCCUCAUCACUCUUUCAUUGGUUGUAGCCUACAGGUGAGGAUAGCUAUGCAGCAGUCACUGUAAACUUUAGGGGAUGCAAAUGUAGUACAUUUCCUCGGCAAAGGACAUUACUUCCAAAAAUUAAUCUUAUUACGGAUUGAGAAAGUAAAGUGGUAGGAACACUGGGGAUCUGAGCUAUGAACUAUUGAAAACAUCUACAAGUUACCUGAAAA